rnacentral:lncRNA from 1 species
AUUGCAAAUGUGCACUGUCACUGUCACUCUUGGUGUGUGUGGAGUGCUGAGGGGCUGGGCAGCUGGGGGGCUUUGUGCAUGUUAGGAAACAUGCUACAUCCCCAGCUCUAUGCAUAUGCCUCAACAGCAAAAUUCUUAGGGGAAGGGCCUCAUGUCUCAUCUCUGGCUCUCCCACAGUCCUUGACGAAGUUUUUAGUCCAUAGUGAUUACUUGGUUACUGUUGACUGAGAGAAUGAACAUCGUCAUUAGGUGAGCUCACAGGUUGCUUUAGUUCCUUCUUGUUUGUGCCCCAACAGGACAAGACUUCAGGAAAGCAGACUUGCACCCACCUGCCAGCUCUAACGCCCCUUCCCCCAGCAUGGAUCACAGGAUGUUUCCAUGCAUGAUCUGCUGCAUCCAGGCCAAGCAUAGAUGCUUGAUGAAGUCCGGGCUGGGCACAUCAUCUAACUCUGGCUCCCGAGACUCUAGCUCCUGGGAGAAGCCUGUAGACAGCUUUCUCUCUGUUGGCAUUCAUAAUGACCAGAUGGAGAGGUGCCCCAGGCCCCAGGAGAAUUCGAAGAUAUGAGCAAGACAACAGGCACAGCAGCUUGUCACAAGUUUCCAUGGAACAGGAGGGCCAUUGAUUCCCUUGUUUAAAUCUCUCUGGGGAUGUCACACUGG